UUCUGAGUUUUUUUUUCUGAUUAUUACCAGCAAGUAGUUAAUAAGAAUUAUCAUAUACUUUUGUAAAUGUAGAAAUAUUGUGUCCCACCGACCAGCUGUGGUGACGCCAGUCGCCAACAGCUACAGCGCUUUUCCAGGAGGCUUCAGUUAUUCUGUGACUGGUGACCAAGGCACGACACAUCACCCAGUAACUCACAAUCUCGCUGGCGGAGUGUUGCUGAGCAGCUGACCAACUGCGGCUGCUGGAGCGUUUCUCAGUCGUCGUCGUCGACCUCCGUAGACUGUCAAGCCUCCCUGACCUUCUGCGACUCAAGAAGGAGGGAUUUUUAUCUGUGUUUACCAUACAAGAGACAUUUUAAUCUGACGAUUCGAUCGGAUCUGGAUCAUGAAUAUUCCCGAGGCGGUGUGACAGAUGGUCGAGGCCGGCGCGCCACGCCAGACGCCUUCUCGCGCGGGGCGUGCUCAGGUCAGUCAGGUUGCGCUGCCGGACUCUGUUCCGAGGAGAGAAGCACAUAAGCGCAGUCAGGACGCGAGUGUGGUUGCACCGCCCCGGUCCCAGCAACUGCAUGGCGGUGGGGACUCACAGCCCGGCUGAUGGUUCCAGAUCGUCUCAGCGCAGCUUCUUCUCCGGACCCCGGCGCGGCAGCGAGGCUGGUGGUUCGGAGCUGACUGAUGGAGGACGGCAAAAGAACAGCAGGACAGGACAUCACCCUAACAGUAGCCUUCGGUCAUGUGGCGAGAGCUGGGCCCCGGACCGGUCGAAACUGAAAGGGUGCUCACUGCUCAGCUGAGUGGGUAAAGUCCGCGUCUCGUUAGUGUCCCCGGGCCCGGCCAGGUCCUGAAGGGUAGAUGAGGGCGGGAUAUUCUCCUUUAUAGACGCAGAGCAAUGCCAGAAGAAUGGUUUUGCGAUCGAGUUGCAUGCGCUGUCCCUGCCUGGGUAACCCAUGUUUUGUGGCCAGCGUGUUACGAACCCACGUAGUGGUUUGACCCCGUGGGGUGCUGUGAGACAGCGCGGAGCGACGCGUGGAUGCUGCUGAAACACGCUGAUGUUUGUGUGUACCUAUCGUCAUUUUGAAGUGCUGCUUGAGUUUGCUCGUUUGUUUAGUCUUACUGUUUUGUGUUUUCUACCAAGAUAAUGUCGAUAAGAUUGUUCAAUAAAGUUUGAGUUGAGACUUCCGGACCGGGAAAGACUGAGACGUCUGAACCGGGGCCGGCAAAGGCGUCUAAACCGGGACCGAUUGAGGCAGCUGGACUGGGACCAACGAAUGGCAGCCAGUUCUGGACCGAAAGUGGGAGGGCUGCAUCCGAUGCGCCACCACAUACCGUAUCACUGGCAGCCAUAUGCGUUCCUGUCGCAGGCCACCGUUCACGCUUCAGUUUCGGCGCUGGUGCCCCGGCCGGGUAUAUGCUCUGCUCGGUACACCUAACUAUUGUGAGCAAAACCUCGUAAUCGUACGUCUAAUGCUAUAGUUGUUGUUCAAAUCCGCGUAAAUUAUGACAUUCUGGCAACUAUGCUGACCCAUAACCAAGCAUAGGUCAAUGUUGGCUCAGUCGGCUACGGUCGAAGUUAUGGUGUUUUUCCAGCCGAUAAUGCAUCAAUAUAAACUCCUUCCACA